GCACCCGUAGCUCAACGGAUAGAGUAUUUGUCUUCGGAACAAAGGGUUGGGGGUUCGAGUCCCUCCGGGUGCA
rnacentral:tRNA from 1 species